rnacentral:lncRNA from 1 species
AUUGAGUGUGACCACCAGGCAACAUCUGGCAAGGAACUGAGUUCCAACAGUGCACAAGGAAGUGAAUCCUGACAACAGUCCCAAGAGCUUAGGAGUGAAUCCUUCUCCACUCCAGCCUCAGAUAAGUCUUGCCCUUAAUUGCAGCCUCAUGAAAGACUCUGAAACCUUGGGCCCAGUUUUUUUAAAUGAUCUCAAGGUGGAUUAAAGACUUAAACUGUAAAACUCCCAGGAGAAAACAUACAGAGGAUCCUUCAUUAUAUUGGUAUUGGCAGUGAUUUAUUGGAUAUGAUGCCAAAAGCACAGUACACAAAAACAAAAACAGAAUACAGCAACGGAACAAUUAACAGAGUGAAAAAGUAACCUGUGGAAUGGGAAAAUGGGAAUGCUGUUCUGCAUAGCAACGGAACAAUUGGCAGAGUGAAAAGGU